UCAAAUUCCAGUUUGUCUACAAAGGAAUGUAUAGUUUUUGUAUAGUUGUCUAAUGUUGGUGGGGCAUAUUAACCUGUUUUAAUGAUACUCCUGAAUCCCUAUGAUCAAUAAAAAUGUUUUACUUCCACAUGCUUUCACACUAUUGCUUACACCUAUCAAAGUUGUUUCAAAUCUACACAAGUGCGUAGGGAGGAGGGGUUAGGGUUUCUUCUGGACAGGGCCUAACUACACAGUGUUGGUUGUAUCCCUGGCCCAAUAAGCACAUGCCUUAGAAAUAGACCUUAUUGGGACAUUGAUGCUGGUGGCCUGGGUUCAAAAUCUGCAAGGGGAGUCUCCCUACUCCCUCACAUUCUUGCCAUUUUGAAUUGCAUUUAUCAGAAAUGUUGAUUGUCUAAAUGUACAUUUCAUUUGAACACUCGAAAUAUUAUUUUUGCGUCUUUUUACAUUUCCAUAAUGUGUAUAGAGUUCUCUUUCACGCAUUUCUGGAACUUUCGCUACCAGCUUUGUGCGUUUGUGGACGACCACCAGAUGCUUUUUCAGGUUUGAUGUGGUGUAUCUGGAAGAAGAGAUCAAUGCUGCCUUUGCAGAGUUUGCAUUUGACUAAAAUGUUUUUCUCUUCUCCUCGAUUAACUAAAAAUAAUGGGAGCAUUUCCACUAGGAAAAGGUUAAGUAGGGUAAGAACACAGUUGCCAUCUUUUUUAGAUUUUCAGCUUUAAGUUAGCCUACAGCAUGAAUAACAUUAGCAUGAGACAAGGCUUUAAAAUAUAUAUAUACAAGCCGGUAGAGAUGUGCACCUGAAAGUAAUAUACGGGUUACUUGAAAAAGUAACUGUAAUAAUAUUACAACAUUUGAGACAGUAAUUCAUUCAUUAGUCCAUUACUCAUAAGGUAAUAUAUAUAUAUACAGUCAGUGGUGUAAAGUAUCUGUUAAACUCUGAGUGGUUGUUUUGGGCCCAGUACAGGGCCUGAGUUUGGGGGGUUGAAAAUCCGUUCAGCCAUUGUGGCAUGGUGACUCACUACCCAAACCAGAUGCAACUGAUUUCAAGUGGCCAAGCGAAGACAUGUGAUCUCCUACCUCCAUCUAGUGGACGAACUGGGAAUCAGACAGAGGACAGGUAGAGACUUCAGCUUUCUCCUCAUAUGUGUAUAAUUCCUGUAAGACAAAACAUGAAGGUAGGGCACGUUGCACAUGCCCUGCACUAUUACAAUGACUGUGUUCCAAUAGGAAUUUGCGCAUGUUUAAAGCACCACCAUUAGGUAAAAGAUCUGUCAAUUGUUUUAUUUGAUUAACAUUCCUUUUGGAACAGCAGGUUGCACAGAUGACCAGCGCAGAGAGGGGCUUCACAGUAAUUUGUGAUAUCAGUGCAGCGGGACAGUAUGUACUGCCCCUCUUCAUCUUCCCCCGGAAGAGGAUGAACAAACAGCUGCUGGUUGGAGCAACUCCUGGGUCCGUUGGAAGGGUGAGUGACUCAGGUUGGGUCAACAGUACCAUCUUUGUCAACUGGCUCCACCACUUCACCCACAGUGUUGGUUGCGUCCCUGAUGGGCACCACUCCCAUAAGACCCUGGAGGCUGUUCUUACAGCAAGAGGCCAGGGAUCACUCUGCCACCCCACUGCAGCCACAAGAUGCAGCCAUUAGACCCUACCGUCUCCAAGGGUCUGAAGGCCUUUUCCAACAGGGAAGCAGAUCAGUGGAUGACGACCCAUCCUGGGAAAAGGAUCGGUAUAUCCCAAAUGGUUGGCCUCUUCGCAAAGGCCUAUAACAAGGUUUCCAGUGUGGAGAGAGGAGUGGAGGCCUUCCGGGCCAGUGGGCGGACUUCGUGGCCGUUAUAGAGGAGCAAUUAGCCCAUAAGAAAAAUGCAAAGAAUCCAUUCAACCACAGUGCUCUACUGCCGCCGCUGCCACCUCUGCCGAUACAGCCACCAGCUCUACCGCCGCCAUCACUAGCUCUACCUCUACCUCUACCUCCAACACAUCUACCUCCGCCACAACCUUCACCCUGCAGCCUACCCUUGCUCCAAAUGUUGGUACGAUUUAUACAUUUUUUGUUGGGGGGGGGGUAUAUAUUUGCAUAUAGUGAUUAGAAGUGUCUAUUGUACCAAUACACAGUGUUCUUGUUGUUUGUUUGUUUUUGCUUAAACCAACAACAACCACCAGCUGCAGCAGUCCUAUUGGAGUUGUCCCCGAGGCUCCAGGAGGCUAGGCCGAGGAAGACGAAGGCAGAGUCUGCGGCGGUACUGACAUAAACAAAAAGUAGAAACAUCAACAUCAAUAGAACAAGCCACAUCAGCCACUAAAGAAGGGGAUGUGGGGUGUCUUUUCUGUGAGGAGCUGUUUUCAGUCCCAGGUGGGGACUGGAUUAGGUGGGCUCAUGAGUUGUGAUCCAAUUUUACUGGAGCUUGAUUUGUGACCUGUGUACAAAUUAGAAUUGCGCAAUAGUAGAGCAUAAUAGUUGCAACAACAAUGUUACACUGAAUUAGUUAAGUUAUGAUUUAUUGUUUUUAAAUGUUAUAUUCCAA
rnacentral:lncRNA from 1 species